CCUACGGUGGGCUGCAGUGGGGAAUAUUGGACAAUGGGCGAAAGCCUGAUCCAGCCAUGCCGCGUGUGUGAAGAAGGCCUUCGGGUUGUAAAGCACUUUCAGUGGGGAAGAAAGCCUUGGGGCUAAUACCCUCGAGGAAGGACAUCACCCACAGAAGAAGCACCGGCUAACUCCGUGCCAGCAGCCGCGGUAAUACGGAGGGUGCGAGCGGUAAUCGGAAUUACUGGGCGUAAAGCGCGCGUAGGCGGUCUGAUAAGCCGGUUGUGAAAGCCCCGGGCUCAACCUGGGAACGGCAUCCGGAACUGUCAGGCUAGAGUGCAGGAGAGGAAGGUAGAAUUCCCGGUGUAGCGGUGAAAUGCGUAGAGAUCGGGAGGAAUACCAGUGGCGAAGGCGGCCUUCUGGACUGACACUGACGCUGAGGUGCGAAAGCGUGGGUAGCAAACAGGAUUAGAUACCGAGUAGUC
rnacentral:rRNA from 1 species